UCCGAUAUGGUGUAGUGGCUAACAUUAUCGCCUCUCAUCGUGAAUGAUAAUUGAAUAAUGCUAGAAGCGCGAUAGCCCGGGGUUCGAUUCCCCGUCUCGGAA